UCAGACGAUGCGUCAUGCAUAUCAAUAAGCGGAGGAAAAGAAACUAACAAGGAUUCCCCUAGUAACGGCGAGUGAAGCGGGAAGAGCUCAAAUUUGAAAUCUUAAAGGGUUUCCCUUUACGAAUUGUAGUUUAAAGAAGUGUUUUCUGUUGAGGUUUUGGUAAAAGUUCUUUGGAGUAGGACAUCAUAGAGGGUGAGAAUCCCGUAUUUGACCUUUACUUUCAACUUUGUGAUACACUUUCAAAGAGUCGGAUUGUUUGGGAAUGCAGUCCAAAAUGGGUGGUAAAUAUUCAUCUAAGGCUAAAUAUUGGCGAGAGACCGAUAGCGAACAAGUACCGUGAGGGAAAGAUGAAAAGGAACUUUGAAAAGAGAGUUAAACAGUACGUGAAAUUGUCAAAAGGGAAGCGUUUGACACCAGUGUUGUUUUUCUGAAAAUCAAUUAAAGAACUGUUUAUGCUAAGUUGUUUAGACUUUAUCAGCUAACUGUUUAGUUUUGAGCUUUUCUUUAAUGCACUUUUCAGUUAACAAGUCAACAUCAAUUUCUUUUGCUGUAAAAAAGCUUGAGGAAGGUGGCUUGAGAUUCGUCUUAAGUGUUUAUAGCCUCUUGCCUAUGCAGUCGGAGAGAUUGAGGUCUGCAGCGUAGAUCCUUCGGGGCUAAAUGCAUUUGUGCUAAGUUAAAGCAUUUUAUAGACAACUUGUUGACUAUGAUUUGUCUUGUAGCUUACUCGCUUAUGUUAUUUUACCUACGCUUAGGAUGUUGAGCGCAUGUCUCUCUCU
rnacentral:rRNA from 1 species